GCCCCGGCGGGGGCGCGCGGGGCCCAGUAGCCGGCAGGAAGCGGCCCCGCCCUUCGCGUGCGGCCUUGGGGCCGGGGCGGGAGCCUGGCUGCGCGCUCGCACUUGACCUGCAUCCGGGUUUUCUUGUUCCGCGCAGGUUGGGACCUGGGACCUGGGACCCUUUGCUGCAGUAUUUGCACCUGGACAAAUAUCUCCUCGACCAGCAGAAUACAAGAAACUAUAAGGAACUAAAAAUAACUGCCCACAUGUGCAGUUGGGGCAAAAUAUGAACAAUGAGGUACAAAAAGGCCAAAACCCAACUGCCACUUCUGAGGUGCCAGGAGCAAAAGCAGAGUACUACACAUGAUCCCUACAAGGGGGUGGGCAGACCACCUAAGCCGCCCUUCUGGCCUACCCACUGAUCCACCCCACCCUCACCCCAUUUAAGGGACCAGCUUGUCACCCCCUCAGGGAGUGAGCAAGGACACCAGUUACAUGUUUUUGCUCCCUUGUGCUGCAGCGAUAAAGCCUUGCCUGAAUUCCUUGUUUGGCCUCGUCAAUUUCUAUUGAUUAAAGAGUCCAGGGCUUCCCUGGUGGCGCAGUGGUUGAGAAUCUGCCUGCCAAUGCAGGGGACACGGGUUCGAGCCCUGGUCUGGGAAGAUCCCACAUGCCGCAGAGCAGCUGGGCCCGUGAGCCACAACUACUGAGCCUGCGCGUCUGGAGCCUGUGCUCCGCAACAAGAGAGGCCGCGAUAGUGAGAGCCCCGCGCACCGCGAUGAAGAGUGGCCCCCGCUCGCUGCAACUAGAGAAAGCCCUCGCACAGAAACGAAGACCCAACACAGCCAAAAAUAAUAAAUUAAUUAAUUAAAUAAAUAAAAAAGAGUUAAAAAAAAAAAAAGAGUCCAAAAACCCAGAUCGGUAAAAGGAGCUUGCUGUCGUUCAUGAGAUGAGGCCCAGAUUGAUCUGGAUUCAGAGCAGCUUUCACACUGAGGACCCAUCAGUUUGCUACUAUGAGUCCACAUAAGUGGGCACCACGUGGGGGUCCUGGGAAAGCCUCUAGAGAGCCAGAGCCAGCUUUCCAGGCAUGUGUGAAUUGUGCACUCCUACACGACCCCACACUCAAAAGGGCCUCACACUUGUUUUAAUGCUCCGCGUUUGCCAUCUUGAAGUUCUUAAUAAUUUUAUCUUUGAACAUCUUUCUGUUUGUCAGCAAGGUCUGAUGGGUGCCACAUGCGUGUGAGCAGAGGAGUUAAAAGCAACAUAUGUGCGGCGUUCUUUGCACAUAGCAUUCCUGACGUCCUCAUCAGGCGUGCUCAAGGCAAAUCCUAGGAAGAAGGCAACGGACAAGGAUCCCCAUCAUGUCCUUACACGUGUUACUUCCCUGUAUCAGCCUAUCAGACAACCACUUCCGCUGAAAAUGAUGACCUAGAUGGAAAGGGAAGGCUCAGGCCACCCACAGCUCCUUCUCUUUUUAUUUCUUUACUCAUCAAUAAGCUGAAGGCAGAGAAUGUUGGUAGGAUAUGUGUAUACCCAUUAAGAAAUAAAAACAGUUGAGUUAGUUUUGUGUAGGAUUUCCAUUGUUCGGUUAAGAACACAAUACCUAUUCAUGUACAAGCAAUGAAAUACGAAUUGUGUCAUAUCAGUGAUUUCCAUAUGAGUUAGUGCUCUUAUAUUUGUGUCUAAAAAUGGGUAUUGCAUAAAA